GACGAACGCUGGCGGCGUGCCUAAUACAUGCAAGUAGAACGCUGAAGGAGGAGCUUGCUCUUCUGGAUGAGUUGCGAACGGGUGAGUAACGCGUAGGUAACCUGCCUGGUAGCGGGGGAUAACUAUUGGAAACGAUAGCUAAUACCGCAUAACAGUAGAUGUUGCAUGACAUUUGCUUAAAAGGUGCAAUUGCACCACUACCAGAUGGACCUGCGUUGUAUUAGCUAGUUGGUGGGGUAACGGCUCACCAAGGCGACGAUACAUAGCCGACCUGGGAGGGUGAUCGGCCAAACUGGGACUGAGACACGGCCCAGACUCCUACGGGAGGCAGCAGUAGGGAAUCUUCGGCAAUGGACGGAAGUCUGACCGAGCAACGCCGCGUGAGUGAAGAAGGUUUUCGGAUCGUAAAGCUCUGUUGUAAGAGAAGAACGAGUGUGAGAGUGGAAAGUUCACACUGUGACGGUAUCUUACCAGAAAGGGACGGCUAACUACGUG
rnacentral:rRNA from 1 species